rnacentral:rRNA from 1 species
CACGUAGGGGACGAGCGUUGUCCGGAUUCAUUGGGCGUAAAGAGCGCGCAGGCGGCCCGGCAAGUCGGGUGUGAAAUCCCGGGGCUCAACCCCGGGACUGCAUUCGAUACUGCCGGGCUAGAGGUAGGUAGGGGAGAUCGGAAUUCCUGGUGUAGCGGUGAAAUGCGCAGAUAUCAGGAGGAACACCGGUGGCGAAGGCGGAUCUCUGGGCCUUACCUGACGCUCAGGCGCGAAAGCUAGGGGAGCGAACAGG